rnacentral:sRNA from 1 species
GGGUUGCAAGCUCCUUCAACUGAGCCCCAGAAUCUUUAUCAAGCUUUCUAGGGGCAGCAUCUCUGGCGGUGAGGCAGAAGUGUACUGUUGGAAACCUAGGUGGUGGGUAAUGCUGACUGAAAUACUGUCCAGCUGGUAAGUGAUGGAAACAUGCCUAGUGGCUGCUUUCCAGGUAAUUGACUUUAUUGCUAUUCUAUGCCCAGGCAGAUUGCUGAGGGGCCUGAAGGACAGCCAAACUCCUCUGGGAAUCUCUCCAGCCUCCUACCCUCCUACCUCUCCAUCGUUCUCUUGAGAGCACACACUUAUUCCCUGAAACUCCUUCUUUCUGAUGAUCCAAAUAGAAGAUAUGUCAAGGACCAAAAUCUAGCUACACCAAAGGGUUGAUGGCUUCGCCCAGGUCACAUGGUAACUGGAAAAAUUCAGACAAGUGAGAAGCGACUUGGGGAAAAUUUUUUUUCCUUGUCUUGUUUUUCUUUUCUUUCUUAAGCCAACUGGUAUGGUGGCUACUUAGUUAGCAUAUGACUUUCUGUAGCUUGAUGGCUGCGGUUUGAAAAGCCUUGGCCAUGUUGAAUAAUCUCAGUUAUUUCCAAGCUUCAGUUUUAUUUCUGCGUAUAAUCAUCUACAAAGUUCACAGAGGUUCUUGUAACUCCUGGUGAGUUAUAGUCAUUAGUUUUUUCCCCCUUGUCCUAAACUCUGGCUGGUAUGCUGACUAGAUCAUGGGAGAAGCAGAUGCCAAGGCAGUAUUUAACAUGGCAAAGACUCAUAAUGAGGAGGAAGGUUAAAAUCAUUAUAAAGGACAAUGAGCAAAGAGCUGGUGGAAGGUGGGAAAAGAGAACCUAACCAUAAUGCAGAUGUAUCAGCCAUGAUAAAGGUGCAAAACAAGAGAAUUGGGUAACAAGUGUCCUGGCUACUGUUUUGUUAACUUGACACAAGUUUAGAAUCAUCUGGGGAAAGUAACCUCAAUUAAGAAAUACCUCAUGCCGGAUAGUUUUGUGUCAAUUUGACACAAGCUAGAGUCAUCAGAGGGGAAGAAGCAUCAAUUGAGAAAAUGCCUCCAUAAGGCUGUAGGUAAGUAAGCCUAUAGGGCAUUUCAUUAACUGGUGGUUGAUGAGAAGAGCCCAGCCCAUUGUGGGUGGCGUCAUCCCCAUCCCUGAGCUGGCGGUCCUAGGUUCUAUAACAAAGUUGGAUGAGCAAGCCCUGAGAAGCAAGUCAAUAAGCAGCACUCCUCCAUGGUCUCUGCACCAGCUCCUGCCUCCAGGUCCCUGUUCUGCUUGAGUUCCUGUACCAACUCCCUCUAUUGAUUAGCAGCAAUAUGGAAGUGUAAGGCAAUUAAACCAUUUUUUCCCAACUUGCUCUUUUGGUCAUGGUAUUUCACUGCAGCAAUAGAAACCCUCUAUAGGCCUCUAUCAGACUGGCCUAUGAGCAAGUGUGUGGGGGGAGGAACAUUUUCUUGAUUAAUGAUAAGUAUGGGAGGGUCUAGCCCACUGUGGCAAUUCCACUCCUGGGAAGGUAAUUCUGGAUUACAUUAAAAAGGUAGUUGAGAAAGCCAGUAAGCAGAGUUCCUUUAUGUCUUGAUUUUCAAUUCCUGCCUCCAGGUUCUUGUCUUGACGUCUCCCUGUGACUUCCCUUAGUGACAGACUGAGCCAUGGAAGUGUAAGGUGAAAGAACCCCUUUCCUUCCCCAGUUCCUUUUGGUUAUGGUGUUUAUCACUGCAACAGAAACCUAACUUGGACAUAAGGUUACUAAGGAUUUCCAUUCAUGGCUUGACUCCAAAAAGUUGAUCCUGGAAACUUGCUGCAUUGGUAGUUGCCAUGGUGAACACUGUCACACCCUGGGCUCAGUCAUCAUUUGGGGCUAUCCAUGUCCUGCACGCCCUCAGCCUAAAUACUGAUUCAGAUUAUCAAGACUGCCAUAGCCAGAGACCAGAAACAAUUUCUCUCUUGACCAUAGAGCUGAGUCAUGCACUUGCUUAGCAGUGGGCAGAAGGAAGCGGACUCUUGUAGCAAGGUAAAACCUCACCUUUACAUGUACUCACAGAGACUCGGGCCUCUCUGACAAGAGACUGGCAGAGAUACUCAUUUCUCCACACGUGCAUCUAUAUGUCCAUUCAUUCUUUUGUCCAUUUGAUGCUUUAGAUGGUAGAAGCAGAUCUGUUAAAGCGAGCUCAUCUGUCUGAGACGGAGCCACUAACCACACUCAAAUAAAUACAGAGAGCCUGCCAUAGCGCCUUCUUGAUUCUUGCUAGUGCUUGGCGUUACUGUCAACAUGUUCUAACCUCUUUGAUUCCAUGUUCUAGGCACAGAAAAUGAUGGGGCUUAGCACAGUGUCCUUGUGUUCAGGUCAAAGAUUGCAGCAGGGGUGGCCAGCUGACUUGGCUAUGUGCCUUCUAAUUCCUAAGCCACAGAAGCUAUUUGCUUUCAAAAUAGCCCCGGCCUUUGGUAAUAAUAUUUCAUAACAGCUUCUCUCCAACUUAUAUGGCAUUCUGCCAUACAUUGUGGAGUUCAAAGAAAUCACAGACAUUAUUUCAAGAGCACAUUAUUUGGAAGAAUAAAUAUGCUAGAAAUAUUUAGGGCUUGGCAGAUAGUAAAAAUAGUUGGUUUUUAUUUUUAUUAUUAUUAUUUAUUAUUAUUAACAAACAUUUCUAUCGAUUAGAAUUUAGUGCUCCCUUAAAUCAGGUGUUUGUAAACCCCUUUUAUUUCUUUUAUUCCAUUAUUUAGUCAAUCAAAGAACACAUAUCUGCACAGUAGGAACCAAUCUCCCUGCCACACAUCUAUCCACUACCCCCAGCAGUGUUUGUAUUUCGGCAGGCUUUCUCUCGUGGGGCUUAAAGAAUCACAUGUGUUUGUAGGCAUUUUAUCAAGUAGUUUAAAGAGCAUAAAACUUGCAGUCAUAAUUUUGGAAGUAAAUUUUAUUGUUAUGGCUUUAAAACACAAUCAAAUAAGAGCAAGAAUUCCAUUAGUAGUUGAAUAUUGUGAUAAUAGAGUUGAGAAUAAAUUUUAUUGCUAUAGGAACUAUAAAACAGCGAUAAUAAAAACACUAUUAUUGUGAAUAAAUUGUAUUGAGAUGACUAACUAGAAAGCUAUAAAACACGAUGAUAAGGGGUAAUCUAAUCACCAGGAAAGACGUGAUAAUAAUUCACCCUUGUUAGUGAGGAUCCUGGGGUUCCAGCUCACUGGCCUUGAGGCUCUGGGUUACUGCCUGCAUUCCAUAAGGUUACAGAAAGAUAAUCUUUGGCCAGUGGGGUUGGCAGGAGACCACAUAUUACAGUAAAAUUGGACAUGGGGAUUGGGGGAAAUCCAAUUAUCAGUGAGUGUUAGGAAAACCCUGUGUAGUAAUGCCAACCAAAUGCCCUCACAAAACAUUUGGGCAGGGGAAAAUGUUUACAGAGUUUUACUGACAGUUUUUGUGUAUUAUUUGAUUGUGUGCUUUCAUGCCUUUAAAAUGUUUUGUGUGUAUUCUUUCAGAACAACUGAGUAGAAUUGCACUUUUGUUGAGGGGUAGCUGUGGGCUUGCCUUUUCUGCGAAACGCUCCAUGUGCGUCUUCAUUCCAUCCCAGUGUGCACUCUCAGUCCUCGGCCCAUCCAGCUGCCAAGGUGACAGUCCCAUUGACACCUGUACUCCAGCAUUCACCACAUCCCUUCCCUCAUGUGAGAGAAAGAGUGUUGUGUAAAAUGUUAUUCACUAUUUAAAAGUAUAUGAGCUUGUGAUGGAGUUUAUGACGUCAUUGCUCAAAUGUGGUUUUACUGAAAUGUCCUCGGAUUUACGUUAUCUUGACUUUCUAAAGUCACUAUCAACAACAGUGACAAACUGGCUGGAGAGAGGCUCUGGAUUUUCUUUAUCUUUCCUCAGAACAAUGGAGCUUCUGCUCUGGACCUUUUGCUUUUUGGGUCUGCUGGUUCCUGUGACCACAAUAGGUGAGUGAGAUAUGAGACGAUGGACCAACCUGUGGUUUCAAUUAUUUAAAUAAUUUUUUUCAUCAUCAACGGAGCUGGUCCUUACCCUCUUCCUAUGUAUGUAUAUCAACUUGAAUGGUAAUAGCUGAGAGCACUAAAGUUUUAUCAUUAAAAAUUACUCUUGGAAUCCUUGAAUAAAUUUCUAACAAGUAUUUCCUCACCACUAGAUAUGUUAUGUUUUAUGAGUGGGAAAAGGAAAUUAUAAUAAAAUUUUUAUAUCUCUUAUUUUCAUAGUUUCUCAAUUAGUAAAUCAUAUUGCUCUAGUUAGUAAGAAAAAUGUUUAAAAUUAUCAAAUAAUUUCACUUAGAGAUAAUCAUUGCUAAUGUUCCUGAUAGAUAGCUAAUUAUGUUUAGAAUACUAUUGCUAAGAUUACAGUUAAAUCAUGGUAAUUUUCCUAUGACAUUCGUGAUUCAUUUAUAGCAUAUUACAAUUGUUAAUAACGUUCAAUCAUUUUGGCUAACUUUUAUGUUUACAAUUUUACAAAUAAUGUCACAAUGAUCAGCUAGGCAAUUUCUUUCAAAUUUUUGAAUAGCAUACUCAAAUAUAAGUUAGAGGAAGUUCAACUAUUGGGUUAGAAAAAUACAUUUAAGCAUCGUGGUAUAAAGUGGCUUGAUAAGGACUGUAUCAGUGUAUACAUUUAACAGCCAUGUAGAAAAGCAUUUUAUUUAAGCAUUUGCCAACUUGAUGAGUAAAACCUACCCACCCUCUUUACAUUCUUUACAUCUCAAUGCCUUAUGAUAAGGUUAAAUGCUUUAUCUCCCAUAUUUCUCAUUUUCUAUCUUAUAUAUUCCAUUUACCCACCUUUUGGUGAUCUUUUCUAUUCUUAAAGGAUAACUUCUCUAAACACAUACUAAGCAUCCGACUGUGUGUGAUUGGGCACAGUUUUCUUAUAAAGUACUUCUUGGCCUUGUCCAUCCAUAGCUCAUUAUUUCCGUCCCUGGUGUAUCUUUUGUGAAAUGUGUGUGGUUUAACUGCUGUUUCUACUUUUGCUUCAUAGUUAAAACAAAUAUGCUUCUUGAUGACUAGAAAGAUCCACUUUGAGAUUCACUCCAAGCUGACUGCCUGGCAUAGGCUGCCCCUUGUCCUUAGAGCCUGAUUUUAAGUAUAUAUAGAGAAUUUGGAAUCUGUAUGUUGUUAAACAACCUGUGUAAAAUGUUUAGAAAUUUCUUUCUUACCUUUUCUUUUUGUUUGUGUGAUUCAAUACAAGUAGCUAAUCCAUCUUCCUUUCUGAGUUUCUUCAUCCAUAAAAUAGAGACAAAGAUGCAUGCAUAUUUUAUAGAGAAAAUAUGGAAUAAAGAGGCUGCUGAUAAAACAUUAAGAGAUAGGACUGGGGAGAUGGCUCAGGAGAGUGCUGCUCCAGCAUGAGGACCUGAGUUAUGAAUACCCAAUGCUCAUGGAAAAAGCUGGGUGUGGCAGUGUGUGCAUGUGGGUGUGGCAGUCCUGGAGAUGAGAGGUGGAUCUCUAUAUGUCACUAUUCACCAAGCUUAGCCGAGUUGGCAAGAUCUGGGUUCUGUGAGAGAUGCUGUCUCAAAAACUGAGUGGAGUCCUCACCUCUCAUCAAGGAAAAUUCUCAUACAUCAUAGAAGACCAUUAUGGAAAACCACAACCAAUCAAAUUCAGAGUUGUAAAGCCCAAUCCCAAUGCAUAUGUCUACAAAACACACUCACACUGAAGAAGAGGAAGCAGAAAGAUCAUAGGAGCCAGAGAAGAUGAGAGAGUUUGUUGUAAGAUUGUAUCUCUUAGUAAUGUUAAAAGCUACACCAUAAAAUCUGACCACUAUGACUACCUAGAAGAAAUGAGCUGAACAAGGCAACAUCAACAGAUAUACCAACAUGGACGAGGGGAAGCCCAUGAGGCCUCAACCCCUAUACAAAACAACUACAGGUAAAUAAGGGAUUCUGAGAGCAGGACAAAUAAAGUCUUACCCAGGGAUAACCAUACCAAUUGGUUAUCCAAUUCCAAAUACUCGGCCAUGAAAUCAUAUAUGCGAUUAAUAUUAUACAGACUGAGCAGCUUAUAUUUAGAAAUAUAUGUACACAUACAUAUAUGCAUGUAACAACAGUUAGGGUGGAGGGAAAUAGAAAAAGACAGUUGAUAUGAACAUCUACCUCUACAUACAUAUAUACAUGGACACAUGCACACAUACCUACAUGCAUAUCUUCAUACAGACAGAAAUAGAUACAUACACCCCCAUUUGCCCCAAGUAAAUAUAUAUAUGAUAAAUUAUAGAUAGCGAUAGAUACAUUCUUACUUAGAUAUAUCAAUACAUAGAUAUAUAUGUGAUAGAUAGAUAAUAUUAGAUUAAGAGUCUUGGCUCUUACACAUCUUUUGACAAUGAAUCCUUGUUUCUGGAAAACUAUACUGAGAAAUAAGAUGUGGAAUUGUUUUAUACAUUGGAAUAAUCUUUAUUUACAAUACAAAUAUUAUAGUGUUGGGAAAUCAGUGUUCAAUGAUAGAUUAUAUAAAUGUUCAUAUGUAGUGAAUGAUACUUGGAUAUUGUCAUAGUUAAUUUUUAUUAACUUGCCUGAAUUAAAGUCAUCAUGGAUCAUAUCUCUGAGUGCAUCUAUGUAUUUCUAGAAAUGUUUACUGAAGGAAAGGUUGCCCUCUGAAUGUGAGGGUACCACACCAUAGCUGGAGACCUAGAACAAAUGUAGGGAAGAGCCCAUUUAAGUACCAGAACUCAUCUGUCUCUGCUUCCUACGUGUGAUUGCAAUGUGAGUAGCCACCAUACUCUCCUCCCAUCAUGCAUUCCCCAUCCCAAUAGGCUGUACACACAAACUCUGGGUCAAAAUAAAUCCGUCUUUCUUUCAGUUGCUUUUUGCCAGGUGUUUUGCCACAACAAUAAUAAAAGCAACUAAGAAAGUUAUUUGCUCAUGAAAAUAAUAACUAUGAAGAACUUUCAUAACAUUGAAAAAUUAUGUUUCAUACUAAAGGAUGGAUGUGUAAUAUAAAAGAAGAUGAAAUACUUAGAAAAGUAAGGAGAAAAAAUGAUAUCCAAAUAGUAAUAACGACCUUUGGUUAAUGAUUUCUUUUCCUCUUCUCUAUACUAUUUUCCACCUUGCAGAUAUUCUACAAUGAACAUAUAUGACACUUGCAUUCAAGGGAAAGACUGCCUGACACUUCCACUUGGAAGUAAUUAGGCACAGGGAGUAACCUCGGAGAGUAGGGUGGCCAGUAGAUGGAUCUUCAUGACUGCAUUUGAGGAAAGCAUUUCAAAGCCUCUUGACUUUGUCAUUUAGGGCAUUUUUGUUUUCAUUAUUACUUGGUAAUCUAAUGGGACCUGACAGUGGAUUCCUGUGAUACCAACAGGAGGCUGAUCUUAGAGGAUUAUGUAUUUGAGGUCACCCUGGGCUACAUAGCAAGACCCUGUCUGGACAAAACUGUUUACAAACACUUGUAUUAAAUCUUUGAGACUUUCAUAGAAUACAUUUUGAUCAUAUGCACCUUUUCCCCUAACUCCUCCCAUACCUACUCUCACUUUAUCACCCACCCACCCAACUUUUAGUUGAUUCUCCAUUUUUUUUUCCAUUGAGUUCAGUUUAUGUCACUCAAUCAGAGCUGGGAGCAGGGCCUACCCUGGCAUGUGGUCUAUCUAUGAGGACUCACAUCAUAAAAGAAAAAUAAUGUUCCAAAUGCCAUCAAAUACCAAUGUUUCAUUAGCUAGUAGUAUGAUUCCAUGCUCACCUCCCUCCUGGUAUACUGGGGUUUUGUCUGGAUUGAGCUUUCCCAAGCCUUGUGCAUACUAUCACAGUCAGUGUGAAUUUAUAUGGGCAGCUACUGUUUCAUUACAAUUAUAUACUGCCUCUCUCUUACAAUAUUUUUUGCCCCCUCUUUAUGAGAUUUCAGAGUUUUUGAAGGUGUAAUAUAUAUGUCCCAUUUAGGGUCAACCCUUUCACAAUCUCUUAUUCUCUGUACACUGACCAAUUGAAGGUUUCUGUGUCAGUUGCCACCUACGGCAAGAAGACGCUCCUCUGGAUAUAGGUGUGUGGUGCUAUCAGCACUGGACUCAAGUUUGGAUAACCAAGAACAUUGACAAUAGCCUACAGCGUUUAGAUGUCUGUGGGACCACACUGGAUGACUCAAAAAGAGAACGCUCAUUCCAGAAAAGAAGACUCAAGAAAGAAAAAACACAAUGCUGUAGAUGUUCAAGAACAUGGGGAAAUGAUGAAAGUCACUGGAAUACUAGUUAAUUAGCUGUCCAGCAAGUUUCCCUGUGAUUCACCACCACUGCAGAAAUUUGCAUCACAGCAUCUCCUAAAGCUGACACACCAGUGCCAUCAAGAAAGUAUUUCCCCACGCAUAUUUAUUAAGUAAAUGGAUUAUCAGAAUGAUCUUCAAUGGAUAUUCAAACUUCCUGUUCUUUGUUAAAUAAAGCGUUUUAGCCAGGAAUAUUUACCAAAUGUUUGUGUGGCUUAGAGUACUAGUAACCCUAUAACUUAUUAGCUGCAUGACUCUUUGCAAGUGACUUUCUUCUCCUGGUGUGUUUCUUGCUUGUAGAACAUGGAUCAUAUUCUGUGGGGUUAAAAUGAGAACUGAGUUAUAAACUGUACAUGUGUUUAGUUUCUUAGGUUCUAGCAUAAUGCUUAGAAAGCAUCAGAUAGUAUUAGUAAACUCUUUGCUGAAAGAUACAUCCUAAGUAGACAGUUAAAACAAUACUUUAGCUGUUAUAGAAACUGAAGUUAUGAUUAACCCAUGGCAGAAGACCCAAGUCCAGCUUACUGGUUCAUAUCAAACAUUUAAAUUACGCCAGCUCUUCACAAUUCAUUCUAGAAAUUAGAAGAGAGAAUGUUUCCUAACCCAGUCUACAGAAUUUAUCUAAUACCCAAGUCAGACAAAGAAAGAAAAUUACAGACUGAUAGUCUUCAUAAACU